rnacentral:rRNA from 1 species
GACGAACGCUGGCGGCGUGCCUAACACAUGCAAGUCGAGCGAGUGAAUCUCCUUCGGGAGUGAAGCUAGCGGCGGACGGGUGAGUAACACGUGGGCAACCUGCCUCAUAGAGGGGAAUAGCCUUUCGAAAGGAAGAUUAAUACCGCAUAAGAUUGUAGCUUCGCAUGAAGUAGCAAUUAAAGGAGCAAUCCGCUAUGAGAUGGGCCCGCGGCGCAUUAGCUAGUUGGUGAGGUAACGGCUCACCAAGGCGACGAUGCGUAGCCGACCUGAGAGGGUGAUCGGGCACAUUGGGACGGAGACACGGCCCAAACCCCUACGGGAGGGAGCAGUGGGGAAUAGUGCACAAUGGGGGAAACCCGGAUGCAGCAACGCCGCGUGAGUGAUGACGGCCUUCGGGUUGUAAAGCUCUGUCUUCAGGGACGAUAAUGACGGUACCUGAGGAGGAAGCCACGGCUAACUACGUGCCAGCAGCCGCCGCAG